AGACCCGAAACCCGGUGAUCUAGCCAUGGGCAGGUUGAAGGUUGGGUAACACUAACUGGAGGACCGAACCGACUAAUGUUGAAAAAUUAGCGGAUGACCUGUGGCUGGGGGUGAAAGGCCAAUCAAACCGGGAGAUAGCUGGUUCUCCCCGAAAGCUAUUUAGGUAGCGCCUCGUGAAUUCAUCUCCGGGGGUAGAGCACUGUUUCGGCUAGGGGGCCAUCCCGGCUUACCAACCCGAUGCAAACUGCGAAUACCGGAGAAUGUUAUCACGGGAGACACACGGCGGGUGCUAACGUCCGUCGUGAAGAGGGAAACAACCCAGACCGCCAGCUAAGGUCCCAAAGUCAUGGUUAAGUGGGAAACGAUGUGGGAAGGCCCAGACAGCCAGGAUGUUGGCUUAGAAGCAGCCAUCAUUUAAAGAAAGCGUAAUAGCUCACUGGUCGAGUCGGCCUGCGCGGAAGAUGUAACGGGGCUAAACCAUGCACCGAAGCUGCGGCAGCGACGCUGAUGCGUUGUUGGGUAGGGGAGCGUUCUGUAAGCCUGCGAAGGUGGCCUGUGAGGGUUGCUGGAGGUAUCAGAAGUGCGAAUGCUGACAUAAGUAACGAUAAAGCGGGUGAAAAGCCCGCUCGCCGGAAGACCAAGGGUUCCUGUCCAACGUUAAUCGGGGCAGGGUGAGUCGACCCCUAAGGCGAGGCCGAAAGGCGUAGUCGAUGGGAAACGGGUUAAUAUUCCCGUACUUGGUGUUACUGCGAAGGGGGGACGGAGAAGGCUAUGUUGGCCGGGCGACGGUUGUCCCGGUUUAAGCGUGUAGGUGUGUGUUCCAGGUAAAUCCGGUUCACUUUAACACUGAGGCGUGACGACGAGGCACUACGGUGCUGAAGCAACAAAUGCCCUGCUUCCAGGAAAAGCCUCUAAGCAUCAGGUAACACGAAAUCGUACCCCAAACCGACACAGGUGGUCAGGUAGAGAAUACCAAGGCGCUUGAGAGAACUCGGGUGAAGGAACUAGGCAAAAUGGUGCCGUAACUUCGGGAGAAGGCACGCUGAUAUGUAGGUGAAGCGGUUUACCCGUGGAGCUGAA
rnacentral:rRNA from 1 species